rnacentral:rRNA from 1 species
GAUAAACGCUGGCGGCGUGCUUAACACAUGCAAGUCGAACGAAGUUUUUCCUUCGGGAGAAACUUAGUGGCGGACGGGUGAGUAACGCGUGGGUAACCUGCCCUGUACAGAGGGACAACAGCUGGAAACGGCUGCUAAUACCGCAUAAGCACUUAGCACUGCAUGGUGCAUAGGGAAAAGGAGCAAUCCGGUACAGGAUGGACCCGCGUCUGAUUAGCCAGUUGGCAGGGUAACGGCCUACCAAAGCGACGAUCAGUAGCCGAUCUGAGAGGAUGUACGGCCACAUUGGGACUGAGACACGGCCCAGACUCCUACGGGAGGCAGCAGUGGGGAAUAUUGCACAAUGGAGGAAACUCUGAUGCAGCGACGCCGCGUGAGUGAAGAAGUAUUUCGGUAUGUAAAGCUCUAUCAGCAGGGAAGAAAAUGACGGUACCUGACUAAGAAGCACCGGCUAAAUACGUG